CCUAGCAUAUAAAAAACUAAUACGAGAACACUCGGGGUUAAGCCUUGCUGAUUAUUCACCCUUGUCUUUUGCGUACUUCUUGUUUCCUUGGUGGGUUCGCCCACCACUAGGACAAACAUAAACCUUUUGUAAUUGCAAUCAGCGUCAGUAACAAAUUAAUAAUUACAACUUUCAACAACGGAUCUCUUGGUUCUGGCAUCGAUGAAGAACGCAGCGAAAUGCGAUAAGUAGUGUGAAUUGCAGAAUUCAGUGAAUCAUCGAAUCUUUGAACGCACAUUGCGCCCUUUGGUAUUCCAAAGGGCAUGCCUGUUCGAGCGUCAUUUGUACCCUCAAGCUUUGCUUGGUGUUGGGCGUCUUGUCUCUAGCUUUGCUGGAGACUCGCCUUAAAGUAAUUGGCAGCCGGCCUACUGGUUUCGGAGCGCAGCACAAGUCGCACUCUCUAUCAGCCAAGGUCUAGCAUCCAUUAAGCCUUUUUUCAACUUUUGACCUCGGAUCAGGUAGGGAUACCCGCUGAACUUAAGCAUAUCAUAGCCGGGGAGGAAAA
rnacentral:rRNA from 1 species